rnacentral:rRNA from 1 species
CUUCGGCCCGCUGACGAGUGGGCGAACGGGGUGAGUAAUGCGUCGGAACGCACCGAGUAAUGGGGGAUAACGCAGCGAAAGCUGUGCUAAUACCGCAUACGCUCCGAGGAGGAAAGCAGGGGAUCGUAAGACCUUGCGUUAUUCGAGCGGCCGACGUCUGAUUAGCUAGUUGGUGGGGUAAAGGCCCACCAAGGCUUCGAUCAGUAGCGGGUCUGAGAGGAUGAUCCGCCACACUGGGACUGAGACACGGCCCAGACUCCUACGGGAGGCAGCAGUGGGGAAUUUUGGACAAUGGGCGCAAGCCUGAUCCAGCCAUGCCGCGUGUCUGAAGAAGGCCUUCGGGUUGUAAAGGACUUUUGUCCGGGAGCAAAUGCCGGUGGCUAAUAUCCACUGGAGCUGA